rnacentral:rRNA from 1 species
AUCUGGCUCAGAAUGAACGCUAGCUACAGGGUUAACACAUGCAAGUCGAGGGGCAUCAGGGUGUAGCAAUACACCGCUGGCGACCGGCGCACGGGUGAGUAACACGUAUCCAACCUGCCCUUUACUCGGGGAUAGCCUUUCGAAAGAAAGAUUAAUACCCGAUGGCAUAACAUGACCUCCUGGUUUUGUUAUUAAAGAAUUUCGGUAGAGGAUGGGGAUGCGUUCCAUUAGGCAGUUGGCGGGGUAACGGCCCACC